UGAACUGGAACAGAUGCAGUCCGGACACAAACGCAGAAAGCCUUCCAUAAGUUCUCGAUGCAGAGGUUGUUGUUGUCGUGGUCUUCAGUCCUGAGCCUGGUUUGAUCAGCUCUCCAUGCUACUCUAUCCUGUGCAAGCUUCUCCAUCUCCCAGUACUUACUGCAACCUACAACCUUCUGAAUCUGCUUAGUGUAUUCAUCAUCUACAGGUGUCUCAUCACCACAGGGUCAAACAUCUGCUAGCUGUAUAAAUUUAACAACUGGAUCAACGAUGAGUAUGUUACCAGUAGAGGGAGGUGAAGUGUAUUCACCACCGAUGCUUCCCAAGAGGAGGAGCAAUAAUGUGUCAGCUGCAGGCAUUACAAGAUUUGAGAAACAAAAACUUGUCUACACCUGGACGGUUUCGGGUGUAAAUAACUGGCUCGAAGACACGAACGAUAUCGCGUCUACUUCUUUCCGUCACCCAAAUUCGAGCGAGUGGUGUGCGGUACUGUCGAAGAAAGACAAAGAGCUAUGUCUGUGUUUCUGGUUGAAAGCAAGCAAGGAACCUGUCAAAGCAAACCUGAAAGCAGCACUUUCUCUAGGCGGAGGCGAGAAACGCGAAGUGUAUCCAUCACUG